rnacentral:rRNA from 1 species
AAAUUGAAGAGUUUGAUCAUGGCUCAGAUUGAACGCUGGCGGCAGGCCUAACACAUGCAAGUCGAACGGUAACAGGAAGCAGCUUGCUGUUUCGCUGACGAGUGGCGGACGGGUGAG